UUGUACUUCCAAUGCUUUCAUGCCAACUUCCUUGUGGCCAUUCCAUUUGUGACACCUUGAAUUAGAUCGGAUAUACCCUAUUUAUGUUAUGGAUCGUAUUGACAAUUUAAUUCGAUCGUACUACGUCCGUCGACCCGUCUGCCGAACACACAAAUGCAUUUGAACGAAUAACGAAUACUAUUUGGGUAAAUACAACAGAGAACAAUGUAUUUUUCUCACGUUCUGCUAUUCCGGGGAUACAAAUGUUUCCGGUUUUCCUGUAGGGACUUGACAACUUUGAAUUUAAUUACGCAUAUCAUCAAAUUGUAACUGUCAAAUUAUUCAGUAAAUUCAACAUUUUCAUCAUAGUAAAGUACACGAAGGAAGAACGUCUGCACAUCAUAAAAAAUUUCUACCGAAAUUCGGAAUCAGUGACCGCUACUUUAAGUGACAUCUUCAGGAACGAAGCGUAUUUUUGGCUUAACGGGUUCGUCAAUAAGCUAAAUAUGCGUUAUUGGUCAGGCAAUAAAAUCUUUAAUUUUCUGGCAAUAUUCAUAUUAACGGUCAAAUUAAAUUGACUCACUUCCCAUUUGAAGAAAUAACGUUAAUAAAAGGAGACAUUGUGCAAAAUUUAGAGGAAAUCUGUCAAGAAAUGUGCUGUGAAAAUGCUACUACAGACUGGCCUCCGAAUGGAUUCACUUUUGGUGGGCAACCGACUCAACCUAACCUAACCUUGUCCUUAAAAAUAUUUAUUAAAAUAUUUCUAUAGAAAACAUUUUAGGAAUAUGGUGUUUGGGACAUAUAAGCAUAAUAAAAACCUUAAAAUGUUUAUGCAAAAUGU
rnacentral:sRNA from 1 species